rnacentral:rRNA from 1 species
CGCGGCCUAUCAGCUUGUUGGCGGGGUAACGGCCCACCAAGGCAACGACGGGUAGCUGGUUUGAGAGAACGAUCAGCCACACUGGAACUGAGACACGGUCCAGACUUCUACGGAAGGCAGCAGUAGGGAAUCUUGCGCAAUGGGCGAAAGCCUGACGCAGCGACGUCGCGUGCGGGAUGACGGCCCUAGUGGUUGUAAACCGCUUUCAGCAGGGACGAAAAUGACGGUACCUGCAGAAGAAGUCCCGGCUAACUACGUGCCAGCAGCCGCGGUAAUACGUAGGGGACAAGCGUUGUCCGGAUUCAUUGGGCGUAAAGAGCUCGUAGGCGGUUCAGUAAGUUGGGUGUGAAAGCUCCGGGCUCAACCCGGAGAGGCCACUCAAUACUGCUGUGACUAGAGUCCAGUAGAGGAGCGUGGAACUCCUGGUGUAGCGGUGAAAUGCGCAGAUAUCAGGAAGAACACCGGCAGCGAAGGCGGCGCUCUGGGCUGGUACUGACGCUGAGGAGCGAAAGCAUGGGUAGCAAACAGGAUUAGAUACCCUGGUAGUCCAUGCCGUAAACGUUGGGCACUAGGUGUGGGGAGGAAUCAACCCUCUCCGUGCCGUAGCUAACGCAUUAAGUGCCCCGCCUGGGGAGUACGG